rfam:Ciona savignyi cont_33121, whole genome shotgun sequence.
GUCUAUAAGGCGCAAUUGGUUAGCGCGUUCGGCUGUUAACCGAAAGGUUGCUGGUUCAAGCCCAGCCAGGGACG